UGCUGACUGCUGGGGGCCACAGAAGGAGCGUUCACGUGUGGUCCCUGUCAGGUUUUUGCCUGCAAAUCAUUCU
rnacentral:ribozyme from 1 species